rnacentral:lncRNA from 1 species
CAAAACUUGCCACGGAUAUUCAGAAUGUGUAUAUGUAUCACUGAGAACAAAAAACCAUAUAUUUUUGAAACUUCAGAAACAUGAAUUUAAAAAUGUUUAAAUACAGAAAGCACUGGAGCUCGGGUGCUGCAACGUCCCACUCCCCCUCCAUGUGCUAUCUAGCUGUUCAAGUGUGACAUCCAUAUCCUACAUAGUCCAUGACUCCUUAACAUUACUGACACCAUGCUUGUGAACAAUGCUUGGGCUCCAGGACUAAUGACAACUGCAUCACAAGAACACUUUUGCAGCAAGCAACCUAGCUAGGACUAGUUGGUACUACUUGGGACUGCUACAACAUUCUCCCAAAACAUUAGCUCAUGACAUGAUCUUCUGUUAGUUAUUGGUACAGUACUAUCUAGCUAGAAGCGGCAGCACCAUGUCAAUCAAUCACAUCUGCUCAGCUAGCUGCAGCUAAGUGCCCAAGUACUUCUGCUGCAGGUAUGUGUGGUAGGGCAGCAAGGACCGGUAGUUGAGCUGAUGCUUAACCUAGUAGUGCUGGACAGCUUGCUUCUGAUAAUCCCCGUGACCUUCUGGAUUAAUGGUGAUGCUAAGUGCUAUGUAGAUACUCUAGCUGGUGUUACUAGGAUAGUUGUUCGUGGAUUUGGACGAGCCUAAUGAGAUCUAAUUAGGUAAUGCUAUCCCACCUAAUGUUGCCAUCAGCUGGACUCUGUACAUGGCAUGGAAUGGAUUGGAUUGUAUCAACCCCAAAUAAUGCAUGCUGAGCAUGGGGAUUAAUUAUUCAGUAGUUCUGGCUUCUUGGGGUACUUAGGUUGUUGUUAGUGAGAUGCUAUAAUAUGGUGGUAGCUGUUUUUGGUUGAUAUUUUGGAUUAGGUAGGAUGAUGGUUGAAACAACCAGGCAACUUUCUC